rnacentral:lncRNA from 1 species
CCUCAAACCCAGUCAGCAGGUGUGGAGACGUCUCUGUCAGAGCUCAUCGGCCUGGCGACGGAGGAUUGACGGUGCCCAGGGUCAUCUACAGCCCCCACGGCCAUCACUCUCAAUGAGCCCAGGGUAACUGUCAGCGUCUCAGGUAAUACGGAUGCACAUCCUCUUACAGCAGCAGUUUCGGGCCUUCCUUGAGUGUGCUCUGGAAAACGUCGCUUGGUGCUCCCCACAGGACGACAUCCCUGAGACAAUCUUCCAGUUGGAGCUUCUUCCUCUACACACACGUCCUCCCAGAGCAAGACACCUGCAUUUAGAAUUUCAUCUCUCCAGGGAUCCCACGCUGAGAAUCCAGCCAGAAAGAAGAGUUUUCACAGACAUUUGAUAAUAAACUGUAGACUCCAACUCAUCUUGAUAUAUAAACUAUCGCCUGUCAAUGCCAAGGAAAGAAUAUCAAGGAAGAAAUUCAGCUCUAUUGAAACACCAUCACCAUCCAUUAACUCUACAAGAAAGGCAG